ACGUGAUGUUAAUAAAAUUAAGU
rnacentral:siRNA from 1 species